rnacentral:rRNA from 1 species
AGAGUUUGAUCCUGGCUCAGGACGAACGCUGGCGGCGUGCCUAAUACAUGCAAGUAGAACGCUGAAGACUGGUGCUUGCACUAGUCAGAUGAGUUGCGAACGGGUGAGUAACGCGUAGGUAACCUACCUCAUAGCGGGGGAUAACUAUUGGAAACGAUAGCUAAUACCGCAUGACAAUUAAGUGCUCAUGUACUAAAUUUAAAAGGAGCAAUUGCUUCACUAUGAGAUGGACCUGCGUUGUAUUAGCUAGUUGGUGAGGUAACGGCUCACCAAGGCCACGAUACAUAGCCGACCUGAGAGGGUGAUCGGCCACACUGGGACUGAGACACGGCCCAGACUCCUACGGGAGGCAGCAGUAGGGAAUCUUCGGCAAUGGGGGCAACCCUGACCGAGCAACGCCGCGUGAGUGAAGAAGGUUUUCGGAUCGUAAAGCUCUGUUGUUAGAGAAGAACGGUAAUGGGAGUGGAAAAUCCAUUACGUGACGGUAACUAACCAGAAAGGGACGGCUAACUACGUGCCAGCAGCCGCGGUAAUACGUAGGUCUCGAGCGUUGUCCGGAUUUAUUGGGCGUAAGGCGAGCGCAGGCGGUUAUUUAAGUCUGAAGUUAAAGGCCGUGGCUCAACCAUGGUUCGCUUUGGAAACUGGAUAACUUGAGUGCAGAAGGGGAGAGUGGAAUUCCAUGUGUAGCGGUGAAAUGCGUAGAUAUAUGGAGGAACACCGGUGGCGAAAGCGGCUCUCUGGUCUGUAACUGACGCUGAGGCUCGAAAGCGUGGGGAGCAAACAGGAUUAGAUACCCUGGUAGUCCACGCCGUAAACGAUGAGUGCUAGGUGUUAGGCCCUUUCCGGGGCUUAGUGCCGCAGCU